GCCGCCUGGCCGCGGGAUUUCCGUAGGUGAACCUGACGGAAGGAUCAUUCCCUCAUGUUCCAAUAACACUCUUGUGAAUUCUUCUGUGAGGUCUGUGUGGGGAUGUACAUUCGGGUUCUCCAUGCAGAUGCUCGCGGGUGGUGGGUUGGACGGGAUGAAGAACAUACCCGUUCGGUCCCACUGCCAUUGCAAACUGCAAGUCAUUUGAUGCAGCCUUCUGUUUAUGGCAAUCGCCAUGUGCAGCUCACAACUUUCAGCGAUGGAUGUCUCGGUUCGAACAACGAUGAAGGGCGCAGCGAAGUGCGAUAAGCAUUGUGAAUUGCAGAAUUCCGUGAACCGACAGGGACUUGAACGCAUAUUGUGCUUUUGGGAUAUCCCUAAAAGCAUGCCUGCUUCAGUGUCUAUUCUGUGUUGUUUCAGCGGCUGUCGCUUUUCAUCAAGCAUGCUGCUGUGAGUGUUUGUGCCUCAAGAUGUGCUGGUCCUUUCUGGUAGCACUCCUGAGGCAUGAGAUUGACAAGGCUCCGUUGUGACGGUCAGCUUACUAAGGCAUCUGUGGUGUGCAGCUAGUUGUGCUCGUCGCAUCGUGGGGCUUGCUGUCACGAUCUGGUCAUACCAAGCAUGUAAGACAUGAAGUUAGGUUGGCAAACCCGCUGAAUUUAAGCAUAUCAAU
rnacentral:rRNA from 1 species